rnacentral:rRNA from 1 species
GUUUAUCUAUGGCCUGAUCUCAUCUCAGAAGCUAAACAGGGUCCACCCUGGUUAGUACUUGGAUAGGACACCAUCUGGGAACACUAAAUACUAUAGGCU